AAGUCGUACGGCAGCGCGGGGCAACCUGGGCGGCGAGUGGCGAACGGGUGAGUAAUAUAUCGGAACGUACCCAGAAGUGGGGGAUAACGUAGCGAAAGUUACGCUAAUACCGCAUACGAUCUACGGAUGAAAGUGGGGGACCUUCGGGCCUCAUGCUUGUGGAGCGGCCGAUAUCUGAUUAGCUAGUUGGUAGGGUAAAGGCCUACCAAGGCGACGAUCAGUAGCUGGUCUGAGAGGACGACCAGCCACACUGGGACUGAGACACGGCCCAGACUCCUACGGGAGGCAGCAGUGGGGAAUUUUGGACAAUGGGCGCAAGCCUGAUCCAGCAAUGCCGCGUGAGUGAAGAAGGCCUUCGGGUUGUAAAGCUCUUUUGUCAGGGAAGAAACGGCUGAGGCUAAUAUCCUCGGCUAAUGACGGUACCUGAAGAAUAAGCACCGGCUAACUACGUGCCAGCAGCCGCGGUAAUACGUAGGGUGCAAGCGUUAAUCGGAAUUACUGGGCGUAAAGCGUGCGCAGGCGGUUUUGUAAGUCUGACGUGAAAGCCCCGGGCUCAACCUGGGAAUUGCGUUGGAGACUGCAAGGCUUGAAUCUG
rnacentral:rRNA from 1 species